rnacentral:rRNA from 1 species
GAUCCGGUGCUUGCAUCGGGGAUUAGUGGCGAACGGGUGAGUAACACGUGAGUAACCUGCCCUUAACUCUGGGAUAAGCCUGGGAAACUGGGUCUAAUACCGGAUAUGACUCCUCAUCGCAUGGUGGGGGGUGGAAAGCUUUAUUGUGGUUUUGGAUGGACUCGCGGCCUAUCAGCUUGUUGGUGAGGUAAUGGCUCACCAAGGCGACGACGGGUAGCCGGCCUGAGAGGGUGACCGGCCACACUGGGACUGAGACACGGCCCAGACUCCUACGGGAGGCAGCAGUGGGGAAUAUUGCACAAUGGGCGCAAGCCUGAUGCAGCGACGCCGCGUGAGGGAUGACGGCCUUCGGGUUGUAAACCUCUUUCAGUAGGGAAGAAGCGAAAGUGACGGUACCUGCAGAAGAAGCGCCGGCUAACUACGUGCCAGCAGCCGCGGUAAUACGGAGGG